CACCUUUUCCAGGGCUGCUCCCACAGCAUAUGUUGGUUCCCAGGCUAGGGGUCUAAUCGGAGCUGUAGCCACCGGCCUACACCACAGCUCACAGCAACGCUGGAUCCUUAACCCAGUGAGAAAGCCAGGGAUCGAACCUGCAACCUCAUGGUUCCUAGUCGGAUUCGUUAACAACUGCGCCACGACGGGAGCUCCCGGAGGUUCCAAUUGACAAUACUGGUGAUUUCAACUUUGAUGGGAUUGAGGGCUGUGGGCCAGGUGGAGCGCACCUGCUGUGGGGCAAACUCCCCAGGAUGGUGGGCUGCAGGCUUUGCAGGGAGGGAAGGAGGACGCCCCUGCUGAAGGCCAAGAGAAGUGGGAGGACAGCCGUCUCCUGCAAAGGCAGGUCUACCAGCUGACCCCACAAACAUCCACUUGGUUUGAUGAGGAGCCCUCAGAACGGGGUGGGUGGGGGGUGGAGGAGGGGGGCAGAGAGCAGUGAAACACAGGCUCAGCAGCGACCCCAUGGCUUCUGGAAGAAAUGAGACACGUACUGACACGUAGUAAUUCCUGAGCGCUUAGGCCAUGCCUCGGGGACGUUGGCGGGUGCCUUAGACAGGAUGGUCCUCGUUCCCGCAAAACCCUGCAGGAUGACAGGCAUCGUGCCCUCCAACGCACCCGUGAGACAACAAAAGGCUCGUGCCCCAUGCUGCCUAUGCUGUCAGUGCAGAAGGAAAGUGGGACUUCCUACCAUAACAGAGAGAGGGGCCCCCCUCAUGCGACAGUGCAUCAGAACUCGCCCAAGCUCCAAGUUUUACCUUCUUAAAAACAAACACACCAACAAAAAUCCACAAAACACCCAGGCCACUUCACCAUCCUUCACGUAUCUUUUGGGAUCCUUUUAACUGCUUUUCACUCUUGUCUAUUUAUACAUCUUUCCUGGGAUCACCUGGGAACACAGCACUCCUGGAAGAAUAGCUCAUCACCACGCUGUGAUCAGGCUCUGUCCACCAACAGCGGCCGACACACGGGUAUCUCCGAAACCAUAAGGAACUCUACGGCACGGGUGUCGGUGUCCCCAGGAUCCAGCUCCCUUUGGAAGUCUUGAGUCUGUGGUCAAAGUGUGUCGGAGCCUCUUGACCCCAUCUGCGUUCCCCCUACUACGGCUCGCAGGUAUCCGCAGCCCUUCCUGGAUGAGCCCACUGCCGUCUGGCCUGGAGACGUGAUUUACUUUGGCCGGUGGAACGAGAGAAGCAGUGCUGUGCCCUGUCCGAGGCAGACCCUCUAAGAACCGCUGUAUGGUUUGACCUCUGUUCUUUCUCUUUCCUGUUAACAAUAGCAUCUUCCCACCGGGGACCUCACCUUCAGCCGUCUCCGAGAAUGCAGACGGGACUAGAACAAAAGAAGAACAGCAGCAGCCAACCCACAGACGAUAGGUAACACGCGUGAAAAAUGUGCGUUCCUGAAGCUACUGGGCUUUCGGGCUGUUUGUUCUGGCGAAAAAGCACGUGAAAGCUGCCUAACACAGCAUUCGACUCGUUUCUACAGAAAACACUGUACACCCCUAGACUGGUUAGCUGGCUGAGAUAAUGGAACAUAACUGGCAAAUCCAAACAGCCUUCCGUAAUUGGGACUGGGCUUCUCGGCGUGCUUAGGGCUGCACUGGUCAUUGAGUGGACAGCCCAUGAGGAUGUGGGAGCAGAGAAGGCAGGGAGGCCUUGAGGCAGGCAGACCAGCCAUAUAACCAGACACACUGAACAGAUGAAAAUCCAUCCAAGAUUUCCUACAGGACAGACUGUUUAUUCAUUUCAAACCAAACAGCACCCUCCACAGCCGCUCCAAUCUCCUUUAGUUACUUUUUAUUAUUAUAAUUACUAUGAUGGCUAUUACAUAAUUGCGUCAACAGGAUGUACAAUAAAGAGACUGGGAGUUCCUGUCAUGGCUCGGGGCAGGGGGUAAUGAACCCAACCAGUAACCAUGAGGCUGCGAGUUCGACCCCUGGCUUCACUUUCUGGGUUAAGGAGCCAGCAGUGCCGUGAGCUGUGGUGUAGGUCGUAGACAGGGCUCGGGUCCCAAGUUGCUGAGACUGUGGUGUGGGCUGGCAGCUGCGGCUCCCAUUUGACACCUAACCUGGCAACUUCCACAGGCCAUGGGUGUGGCCCUAAAAAGACAAAAAUUAUGAGAAAAUGAAGAGAUUGGCUGAGGUCAUCAAUGAUUGCCUAAAUAUAUGAGCAGCAGCUGUCUUUCACCAAAAGUCUCAUAAAACAAAGGUAGCAAAUCAAAAUCACUCCCGGCGGGGGCGGGCAAAGCUUCAACAAGCAAUGUUAGUUUUCUCAAUGAGCAAACCUCCCAUUAGAUGAUGGACAACGUGCUAUUACGCCUUGGUGACCACACCCACGGAGAAUACAUGUGUAAUUGCUGACUUCAGUUCAACAACGUGUAACGGAAACUGUUCUUACUCUAACUCUGCCUGGCUCUGGCUUGGUCUAAAAACACCGAACAAAACAUGGUUCUUAACAUGUCUCUGAAAGUGUGUUGGUUCUCAUGGUCCCAUACUUAAUGAGAAAGGAUGCGCGUCUUGUCAUGAAUUCCUGGCAGACACUGCUCGACCCCAGUUGUAGAUGCCGACCAGUCCCAAGAGACAAGGACCCCAGACGAUGCUGGAUUCCACAGUGUAGAGAUCAGACUGUCAGGUGCAGGCCCUGAGUCCCGAGGACUCGUUUCU
rnacentral:lncRNA from 1 species